rnacentral:rRNA from 1 species
AUUGAACGCUGGCGGCAUGCUUUACACAUGCAAGUCGAACGGUAACAGGCCGCAAGGUGCUGACGAGUGGCGAACGGGUGAGUAAUGCAUCGGAACGUGCCCAGUCGUGGGGGAUAACGCAGCGAAAGCUGCGCUAAUACCGCAUACGAUCUAUGGAUGAAAGCGGGGGACCGUAAGGCCUCGCGCGAUUGGAGCGGCCGAUGUCAGAUUAGGUAGUUGGUGGGGUAAAGGCUCACCAAGCCAACGAUCUGUAGCUGGGCUGAGAGGACGACCAGCCACACUGGGACUGAGACACGGCCCAGACGCCUACGGGAGGCAGCAGUGGGGAAUUUUGGACAAUGGGCGCAAGCCUGAUCCAGCAAUGCCGCGUGCAGGAAGAAGGCCUUCGGGUUGUAAACUGCUUUUGUACGGAACGAAACGGCUCUGGUUAAUACCUGGGGCUAAUGACGGUACCGUAAGAAUAAGCACCGGCUAACUACGUGCCAGCCGCCGCCGCGGUAA